GAUGAACGCUGGCGGCGUGCCUAAUACAUGCAAGUCGAGCGAACAGACGAGGAGCUUGCUCCUCUGACGUUAGCGGCGGACGGGUGAGUAACACGUGGAUAACCUACCUAUAAGACUGGGAUAACUUCGGGAAACCGGAGCUAAUACCGGAUAAUAUAUUGAACCGCAUGGUUCAAUAGUGAAAGACGGUUUUGCUGUCACUUAUAGAUGGAUCCGCGCCGCAUUAGCUAGUUGGUAAGGUAACGGCUUACCAAGGCAACGAUGCGUAGCCGACCUGAGAGGGUGAUCGGCCACCCUGGAACUGACACACGGUCCAGACUCCUAGGGGAGGCAGCAGUAGGGAAUCUUCCGCAAUGGGCGAAAGCCUGACGGAGCAACGCCGCGUGAGUGAUGAAGGUCUUCGGAUCGUAAAACUCUGUUAUUAGGGAAGAACAAAUGUGUAAGUAACUAUGCACGUCUUGACGGUACCUAAUCAGAAAGCCACGGCUAACUACGU
rnacentral:rRNA from 1 species